rnacentral:rRNA from 1 species
UAGGGAAUCUUCCACAAUGGACGCAAGUCUGAUGGAGCAACGCCGCGUGAGUGAAGAAGGUUUUCGGACCGUAAAGCUCUGUUGUUGGUGAAGAAGGAUAGAGGUAGUAACUGGCCUUUAUUUGACGGUAAUCAACCAGAAAGUCACGGCUAACUACGUGCCAGCAGCCGCGGUAAUACGUAGGUGGCAAGCGUUGUCCGGAUUUAUUGGGCGUAAAAGCGAGCGCAGGCGGAAGAAUAAGUCUGAUGUGAAAGCCCUCGGCUUAACCGAGGAAUUGCAUCGGAAACUGUUUUCUUGAGUGCAGAAGAGGAGAGUAGAACUCCAUGUGUAGCGGUGGAAUGCGUAGAUAUAUGGAAGAAUACCAGUGGCGAAGGCGGCUCUCUGGUCUGCAAACUGACGCUGAGGCUCGAAAGCAUGGGUAGCGAACAGGAUUAGAUACCCUGGUAGUCCAUGCCGUAAAACGAUGAGUGCUAAGUGUUGGGAGGCUUCCGCCUCUCAGUGCUGCAGCUAACGCAUUAAGCACUCCGCCUGGGGGAGUACGACCGCAAGGU